UACGGGGGGGGUAAGCGUUGUUCGGAAUUACUGGGCGUAAAGGGCUCGUAGGCGGCCAACUAAGUCAGACGUGAAAUCCCUCAGCUUAACUGGGGAACUGCGUCUGAUACUGGAUGGCUUGGAUCCGGGAGAGGGAUGCGGAAUUCCAGGUGUAGCGGUGAAAUGCGUAGAUAUCGGGAGGAACACCAGUGGCGAAGGCGGCGACCUGGACAGAUAUUGACGCUGAGGUGCGAAAGCGUGGGGAGCAAACAGG
rnacentral:rRNA from 1 species